rnacentral:tRNA from 1 species
GCGCCCGUGGUGAAAUUUGGUAUACGCGCCGCACUUGGACUGCGGCUGUAGGUUUUUACCAUGAGAGUUCGACCCUCUCCGGGCGUG